rnacentral:ncRNA from 1 species
CUUAUCAAGAGUGACAGAGGGAACAGACCCUGUGAAGUCCGGCAACCUGCUUUUUUGUAAGGUGCCAAAUUCUGCGGUAUAAUCAUGCCGAAAGAUGAG